rnacentral:rRNA from 1 species
CCUACGGGAGGCAGCAGUGAGGAAUAUUGGUCAAUGGACGAGAGUCUGAACCAGCCAAGUAGCGUGAAGGAUGACUGCCCUAUGGGUUGUAAACUUCUUUUAUAUGGGAAUAAAAUGUUCCACGUGUGGGAUUUUGUAUGUACCAUAUGAAUAAGGAUCGGCUAACUCCGUGCCAGCAGCCGCGGUAAUACGGAGGAUCCGAGCGUUAUCCGGAUUUAUUGGGUUUAAAGGGAGCGUAGGUGGAUUGUUAAGUCAGUUGUGAAAGUUUGCGGCUCAACCGUAAAAUUGCAGUUGAAACUGGCAGUCGUGAGUACAGUAGAGGUGGGCGGAAGUCGUGGUGUAGCGGUGAAAUGCUUAGAUAUCACGAAGAACUCCGAUUGCUAAGGCAGCUCACUGGACUGCAACUGACACUGAGGCUCGAAAGUGUGGGUAUCAAACAGGAUUAGAUACCCGAGUAGUC